AAAAACAUCGCCUCUUGAUCUAACACAAGAGGUCCAGCCUGCCCGGUGAUAAAAUUUAACGGCCGCGGUACCCUAACCGUGCGAAGGUAGCAUAAUCACUUGUUCUUUAAAUAAGGACUAGUAUCAACGGCAUCACGAGGGUUACACUGUCUCCUUUCUCCAAUCAGUGAAACUGAUCUUCCCGUGAAGAAGCGGAAAUAAGACUAUUAGACGAGAAGACCCCAUGGAGCUUUAAGCUCAACAACAACUCCUAUAAAAUAAUUCUAUAUAAUACACGAACCCUGUUUGUUAGCUUUAGGUUGGGGUGACCGCGGAGUAUAAUUUAACCUCCACGACAAAAGGGUAUAAAACCCUAAUCCAUGAGCCACUGCUCUAAGAAUCAUUAAAUUGAUGUACAAUGAUCCGAUUUUCGAUCAACGAACCAAGUUACCCUGGGGAUAACAGCGCAAUCCAUUUUUAGAGCCCCUAUCGACAAAUGGGUUUACGACCU
rnacentral:rRNA from 1 species